CAGUAAAGCAACACACAUUCUUGGCACAAAUCUCUCACACAUUUCCCCAUUCACUCACACACAGCAAAAUGGGGAUAAUUUUAUGAACAAAAUUUACCAAUAAAAAAAAGAACAAUGCUGUGUUCCCAUCUGAAGGUGAUCUCAUUUUUACAUAACUGUUUCUUGGCUAUUUUAUGAUGCCAUAUCAAUUGCCCAGGUUAGCAAAGAAUGAGAGAUGAAUAUUGUAAACUAUGAUGUGUGAUGGAUGUGGAAGUAACCGUAGCUUAUUUUAAGGUACUAUCGUUGGAUCUGCCUAGAGGAACUGCGGAAAAGAACAAGGCCUCAGUGAUAACAGAAAGCCCAGACCAGAACUUCUGAAUCCAAGUCACAUGUGACAUCUUUACUCCAACCUGCGGAAUAAGUUCAGUUCAAACAUCAACUUUAAGACACUAUUGACCGAGAAAGACACAGGUACAUGGAGCAUUUCUAUGCGGGCUUCAAGUCUCAGCCAGGUGGCCUGCCAGGGAAAAUCUGGUAAAGCUGGGAACCGGACCUGGGACCUCUGACCACUAGAUCACAGAGGGCGUCCAUGAAUAUAAAAUCUGAUCCUUUAACAACUGUAGUGAUGUGCAUGAAUAUAUUAAAAUAUUUAUAAAUUAUUAUAAGUAGUUUAUUUAUAAGUAUGGUUUAAAAUGACUUUGUUAAAAUUUAAAACCAAUUUUGUUUGUGUCCUUUAUACUGCCUCUCUUUAAAGGAAGUUGAGUGUCUACCAGCUUGUGGUUCCACUGUUUGAUGAAUAUGGCUUUUUACUGUCUUCCUGUUGUUCAGGACUAAUAAAUGGCUACCAGUCACACCUUAUGUAUUUUUAAAACACUUACCUUCACAGUAUGUAAAAAUCUUCUUAUUUUUGUCAAUAAACUACUCCCUUCUGUCAGUUU